rnacentral:misc_RNA from 1 species
CAAAAAAAAAUUGAACUAAAACCAGUAGAAGAAGUGCAGAAACCUGUCAGUUAGACCCACUGUGGCAGCAUCUGCUGGUACAUAACUUCCAAUGUGGGAAAGGAAAACUAUCAAGGCAACCUGCUUGAUAUAGAUACUUUUUCCCGAAUAAUUAGGGCCUGUGAUGAUAUUAAUUCUUCCUUCAAGAGUAAUAUUUGUGUCGUUGG